rfam:Bacilli bacterium VT-13-104 contig051, whole genome shotgun sequence.
CGGAAGCGCCCUUACAGGCUAAAAACGCGACGUCCUGUCGCAACGCCUGUACUCGCACGUCCUGUGCU